rnacentral:lncRNA from 1 species
AAACAGGUAGUUUAAAUUUUCAAACGAGAAUGAAGAUCAAACUCAACAAUUCUCAGAAAACUUCCUCUUCUUCCUCCAGCACACGAAGAACACAUGAACACAAAACUUUCACCAAAACAAGCAAAUGGAUAACCGUUGGACUCGUCUCACCACGUAGAUCUCAAAUAUCAACUCAAUUUAACCUAAAAGUUCCUCUAUCUCAUGAAUCGAUCAACUUAGGGUUUU